UUUUGGAAGACAUGGCAUCUAAUCACGACUCAGCAUUGUGGAAAAACCGUCGCUUAUUUUCUCAGGCCAGUUUCCUCAGAAUUUGUUCGUUCAUGCAACUUUAAGAACCUUACUGCACCACAUGGAGAUGUGAGAAUCAUCUUCAUUGUUAUCCAGGUUUACCAUUGGAAUCCUUGUGAUCCAGAAAUAGCUUGUUUAAGAGCACUUACCGUCUUCGGCAGAAAAGAAUGUUUGUGGAGCAUGCUCCUCCGUAUAUUAGCUGUUACUUGAGCGCGAGUGUCUUUUGGAAACAGCCUCUCUACCUCAUGGAGGUAGAGAUAACGUCUGCGUACAGUCUAUCGACCCGGACCUCACCUAUGGGAUUGCACUAGUUCGACGCUGGUGUGAAAUGAAUUUAAUCUGUCCCUUGCUAAAGACUAUUGCACGCAAAGCAUAUUGAUGCAACAAUGCGUUGAAUGGACUUGGGAGUGAUAGCACACAAAACGUUUACAAAGUGAAUGGUACUGUCUUUAAGGUCUUUGCUGAACCAACUAAGAGAACCUUUGAUUGAACGCAACUACAAGAAACAAAAUGAGGUGGCGGAUCAACUUGCAAAACAAUAUGGAUAUAGGAUGCAUGAUAAUAUAAUACAUUUUACUGUUUCUCCUUUGUUUGACUUAGCUUUCAAGGCAGACAAGCUAGGAAUUACUUCCUAUAGAAGCACUACGGUUUGCAGUGAAGCUAAAUCGCUGUCUCUGUAAUAGCACUACCUUUUUUUUUUACUGGGCAAACAUUAUGACACGUGUGGUUUUAAACAUGUC